rnacentral:rRNA from 1 species
UACGUAGGGUGCAAGCGUUGUCCGGAAUUAUUGGGCGUAAAGAGCUCGUAGGCGGUCUGUCGCGUCGAAUGUGAAAAUCCGAGGCUCAACCUCGGACCUGCAUUCGAUACGGGCAGACUAGAGUUCGGUAGGGGGAGUCUGGAAUUCCUGGUGUAGCGGUGAAAUGCGCAGAUAUCAGGAGGAACACCGGUGGCGAAGGCGGGACUCUGGGCCGAUACUGACGCUGAGGAGCGGAAAGCGUGGGGAGCGAACAGG